rnacentral:misc_RNA from 1 species
GAUGAAGAACGCAGCGAAAUGCGAUAAGUAAUGUGAAUUGCAGAAUUCAGUGAAUCAUCGAGUCUUUGAACGCACAUUGCGCCCCCUGGUAUUCCGGGGGGCAUGCCUGUCCGAGCGUCAUUGCUGCCCUCAAGCACGGCUUGUGUGUUGGGCCCCCGUCCCCGGUUUCCCCCGGGGACGGGCCCGAAAGGCAGCGGCGGCACCGCGUCCGGUCCUCGAGCGUAUGGGGCUUUGUCACCCGCUCUGUAGGCCCGGCCGGCGCCAGCCGACACCCAACUUUAUUUCUAAGGUUGACCUCGGAUCAGGUAGGGAUACCCGCUGAACUUAAGCAUAUCAAUAGGCGGAGGA